AAGACGUGGUGAGGGCACUUUUUAAGAAACCCCUUGAAUCUCUCUCAACUCUCACGAAUAGAUUCUCCUUCUAACUAAAUAAAAGUAGUAAUAUCAUUUCUUAGUUU